rnacentral:lncRNA from 1 species
CCUAGGGCAACCAUCACUCUACUUUCUGUCUCCAUGAUUCUGACUACUCUAAGUAUCUCAAACUUUGGCUCUUACGCUGAUUUAGGAGAGAUGAGGAAGAAGUGCCAGUGGGGUUUCCAAGAAGAAAUGCUCAGCAAGAAGCAGGCUCUUCAAACCUGAGAAAGCUUUCGACUCAAAGGCCCUGCAUGUCUAUGCUCCCUUCCUAAGACUCAUGCAGGCUCCAUGUGAACAGGACCAGACCACCCUCCUGGAAGAUGAGUGACCAAAUGGAGCAGAGUCCCUCAUCUGUCCCAUCUCAGCCGAGGCACAAGGAGCCUCUACAAGCUCAGCAGAGCCGAACCUCAUCAGACCCUCCAGCUAAACCCCCAGCUGACUGCGGCAGGCACAUAACCAGGGCCACCCUAAACCUGCCAGGCCUUCGCUGUCUCUACGACUCAAGAGCUAAAUAAAUGUUUGCUUUUAACAAAUAAACCCCAAAAGAGUGACACAUGCCCUCUUACAAGAAAAACCUCAGAACAGAAAAUAUUUAAAUUCUCUUCACUUCCAGAUCCU